rnacentral:lncRNA from 1 species
AUGGUAGUGAAAAUGAUGGCGACCGAUGCAGAGGAGAUAAGAAACCAAACAAGCCCCUGCCCUAUCCCCGACAACAGUCUCAGCACUCUGUCCAUCAAAAUCACGCGGAAAAACCAGGAUAGACACUGGAAGUUGCGGUCUAUUUACCUGCAGUGCUAUUUCUUGACCAUUGCAACAAUAUUGGGAACUGGAAUCUUAGGUCUUCCAGUGACGAUAGCCCAUGCUGGAUUGUUGCCUUUCCUCGUCUCGUUUCUCGUUGGCUUCUUUGUCCAGGCUUUGCUUAUCUACCUGUUUGUGGAACUUCUUCAGAAAUGUCAGGUGGUUCAGCUGGAAUCUCUGAAGACAGGUGUCGCCGAAUGUAUCUCGAUGGAUCAGGUGGGCGUGGAGGAUCCGGCACCCACAGAGGACGAGGAUGAGGACGAGGGUGAAAAUGCAGAGGCGGAUACCGGUUUACUACAGUCAGAUGGAGUAGCUUUGCACAACCAAGCUGAGUGCCUGCAGCCCAACCUUCAUCUGCUCGGCUACAUCUUCCUCUCCCGGCCCAUGAGCCACGCCUUUAACUGCAUCCUCCUCUUCCAGUUCCACAUCUACGUGAUCCCGGCCUUCACCUGGAUUCUAACUCUUGCAAUCUUACUGGCCCACACAAUCAUCCAACCAAUCACGUCUCUGCUUACCCUGCUGAAAGGACUUCUGCUCAUUGUCACGGUGGCUGUGACAUUUGCGGUGGGGUCUGAGGUUGGCCUUCAGAGCAGCAGUGACUUCAGUCAGAUGGGGAAACCUUUCCUAAUGGGAACAGUGGCUCUGGGGGGGAUAGUAAACGUGAUGCCUCUGCUCUUCUCGCAGAUCUCUCACAACAAAACACAGAUCCUGUGGUUUCGGAGAGCAGUGCUUGGAGGUCUGACAACCUGCACUGUGCUCAACAUCCUCUGGUGCUGGGCUGUGCUGGAAAUUGUCCCCCAGACGUCGUUACCAGAGAGGCGGACGGCAGGAGAGACUACAACCCAGCCCGACUCCAGCAGCCUGUCUGGUCCUCACUCCGCUGUCUCCCCUCUGCUGUACUCCAACAUCUCACUAGAGGAGAUGGAUGAUGAGCCUUGCAUGCUUUCAUUCAGGCCAGUCAGAAGGAUACGGGUGUCAGAUGUUCCGGCUCGGCAGGAGGCACAGUCUGAGACGUGUGCAGCACGUCAGCAAGUCAGCACCUUGCCCCAAGACCGCCACCUGCCAUCAAAGUACAGCAACAGGUCUGAGAAAGCGGGCGAGAUUGCAACCAUUCCACUGACUAAGAUUAUUAAUGAACGUUACAGGGCGUACUCCUGGGUGGCUGAGCUGAUCCAGGUCUUCAUAGCCAUCAGCGUCACUGUGUCCUUCCUGGUGAUGGGAUCGGCCAUGAAACACACCAUUGAUGGCCUGGUGAACUCGCUGUGGAGCAGCCAACUGGAGUGGUUGUCUAAAGCCUGGGAGAGAAACCUGCCGAACAAACAUCACAUCUGCUCAGCGAGAAGCAUGGCUAAAGGAUUCAUGUCGCUUCUUGGGUUUACUGUCAUCUUUAUCGUGUCAGUGUGUGAUCCCAGGGGUUUCAUUGUCAUGUUGGACAAAGUUGUGUCGUUCUCCCUCAACACUGAAGUUGGACUGUUUGUCUUCAUCAUGCUGAGAGAAUCCAGAGAAGACAGAUUCCAACACCUUGCUGUCCCUCUGCCAGUAGGUGACUGUGUCUUCAGCCUCAGCUGGAUGCUCCCCACCUACUUCCUGUUUGCAGUUACGUACGACGUCCUGCAGACUCUGGCGGACGUGGCUCAUUACCUGCAUUUCUACAGCAACAGUGAGGAAGCACACAGCCACAAUCUGACUGGGAGUUUAACGGCAGCCAAUCUGUCCGUCCUGCUCUGAUCCUCAAUCAGCCAGAAAACAGACGGACCAGUAGGAGUUGGAAUUGCCAAAAAUCAGAUGCUUAGCAAGUGCUUUUAUAUUGUAUUCACACUUAUCAAGCUCUUGAUACAUUUUGAAAAUGUCAAACAUAGGCAUUAUUUGUUUUUGAUGGAAUGUUUUUGCACUCUUUUUUUCUUUGUUCACUUGCGGUGGCCUCGCUGCGCAUGCAAACUGUAAAAUGUUUUAGUUUUUCCAGUAGUCUGGAAACCACCACACAGCAGGGGCCAGAUGUAUGAACGAGGCAUACGCACAAAAAAACAUCAAGUGUCUCCACCUCAUGCAUAGUUCAGACCGAGUGUACCUUUAAGGUGUAGAUCAGUGGUUCCCACUAGGGGUCACCAAAGCUUCACAGGGUUGUGAUGCCUUCUUGAAAACUUUAAACAAAAACAAAUAUACACAUUAGGCCUGUAUCUCAGUAUAUUGUUCAUUUCUGUGAAGUAUUUUAUAGUUUAGAUUAUUAUUCAAGAAUAAAAUCAACAUAUAUUCACAGAGCCUCCGAUAAACAGCCUCCUGCUGCAUCUGUAAAAUACACAGUAUGAACAUGUGUCAAAGGAAGAAGCCUAUUAGGGAG